rnacentral:rRNA from 1 species
GAUGAACGCUGGCGGCGUGCCUAAUACAUGCAAGUCGAGCGAACAGAUGAGGAGCUUGCUCCUCUGACGUUAGCGGCGGACGGGUGAGUAACACGUGGAUAACCUACCUAUAAGACUGGGAUAACUUCGGGAAACCGGAGCUAAUACCGGAUAAUAUAUUGAACCGCAUGGUUCAAUAGUGAAAGACGGUUUUGCUGUCACUUAUAGAUGGGUCCGCGCCGCAUUAGCUAGUUGGUAAGGUAACGGCUUACCAAGGCAACGAUGCGUAGCCGACCUGAGAGGGUGAUCGGCCACACUGGAACUGAGACACGGUCCAGACUCCGACGGGAGGCAGCAGUAGGGAAUCUUACGCAAUGGGCGAAAGCCUGACGGAGCAACGCCGCGUGAGUGAUGAAGGUCUUCGGAUCGUAAAACUCUGUUAUUAGGGAAGAACAAAUGUGUAAGUAACUAUGCACGUCUUGACGGUACCUAAUCAGAAAGCCACGGCUAACUACGUG